rnacentral:rRNA from 1 species
GGCGAACGCUGGCGGCGUGCUUAACACAUGCAAGUCGAACGGAAAGGCCCUUCCUUUGUGGGGUGCUCGAGGGGCGAACGGGUGAGUAACACGUGAGUAACCUGCCCUUGACUUUGGGAUAACUUCAGGAAACUUGGUCUAAUACCGGAUAUGAGCUCCUGCUGCAUGGUGGGGGCUGGAAAGUUUCGGCGGGUGGGGAUGGACUCGCGGCUUAUCAGCUUGUUGGUGGGGGAGUGGCUUACCAAGGCUUUGACGGGUAGCCGGCAUGAGAGGGUGACCGGCCACAAGGGGACUGAGAUACGGCGCAGAGUCCUAUGGGAGGCAGCAGGCGGGAAUAUUGCACAAUGGGCGGAAGCGUGAGGAAGAGACGCUGCGUGCGUGAUGACGUCUUUCGGGUUGCAAACCGCUUUCGCCUGUGACGAAGCGUGAGUGACGGUAACGGGUAAAGAAGCACCGGCUAACUACGUG